rnacentral:rRNA from 1 species
GACGAACGCUGGCGGCGUGCUUAACACAUGCAAGUCGAACGAAGAGCGACGGAAGCUUGCUUCUAUCAAUCUUAGUGGCGAACGGGUGAGUAACGCGUAAUCAACCUGCCCUUCAGAGGGGCACAACAGUUGGAAACGACUGCUAAUACCGCAUACGAUCUAAUCUCGGCAUCGAGGAUGGAUGAAAGGUGGCCUCUACAUGUAAGCUAUCACUGAAGGAGGGGAUUGCGUCUGAUUAGCUAGUUGGAGGGGUAACGGCCCACCAAGGCGAUGAUCAGUAGCCGGUCUGAGAGGAUGAACGGCCACAUUGGGACUGAGACACGGCCCAGACUCCUACGGGAGGCAGCAGUGGGGAAUCUUCCGCAAUGGACGAAAGUCUGACGGAGCAACGCCGCGUGAGUGAUGACGGCCUUCGGGUUGUAAAGCUCUGUUAAUCGGGACGAAAGGCCUUCUUGCGAAUAGUGAGAAGGAUUGACGGUACCGGAAUAGAAAGCCACGGCUAACUACGUG